rnacentral:rRNA from 1 species
CUACUGGGGUUUCUAAUCCUGUUUGCUCCCCACACUUUCGCACCUCAGCGUCAGUAUCGAGCCAGUGAGCCGCCUUCGCCACUGGUGUUCCUCCGAAUAUCUACGAAUUUCACCUCUACACUCGGAAUUCCACUCACCUCUCUCGAACUCAAGACUGCCAGUAUCGAGGGCAGUUCCGGGGUUGAGCCCCGGGAUUUCACCCCCGACUUAACAGUCCGCCUACGCGCGCUUUACGCCCAGUAAUUCCGAACAACGCUAACCCCCUCCGUAUUACCGCGGCUGCUGGCAC